rnacentral:rRNA from 1 species
AUUGAGCGGCCGAUAUCAGAUUAGCUAGUUGGUGAGGUAAAGGCUCACCAAGGCGACGAUCUGUAGCGGGUCUGAGAGGAUGAUCCGCCACACUGGAACUGAGACACGUUCCAGACUCCUACGGGAGGCAGCAGUGGGGAAUUUUGGACAAUGGGGGCAACCCUGAUCCAGCCAUGCCGCGUGAGUGAAGAAGGCCUUCGGGUUGUAAAGCUCUUUCAGCCGGGAAGAAAACGCAUGGGUUAAUACCCUGUGUGGAUGACGGUACCGGAAUAAGAAGCACCGGCUAACUACGUGCCAUAUGCAGCCGCGGUAAUACGUAGGGUGCGAGCGUUAAUCGGAAUUACUGGGCGUAAAGCGUGCGCAGGCGGUUUGUUAAGAUAGGCGUGAAAUCCCCGGGCUCAACCUGGGAACUGCGUUUAUGACUGGCAGGCUAGAGUAUGGCAGAGGGGGGUGGAAUUCCACGUGUAGCAGUGAAAUGCGUAGAGAUGUGGAGGAACACCGAUGGCGAAGGCAGCCCCCUGGGCCAAUACUGACGCUCAUGCACGAAAGCGUGGGUAGCAAACAGGAUUAGAUACCCUGGUAGUCCACGCCCUAAACGAUGUCAACUAGGUGUUGGGAGGGUAAAACCUUUUAGUACCGGAGCUAACGCGUGAAGUUGACCGCCUGGGGAGUACGGCCGCAAGGUUAAAACUCAAAGGAAUUGACGGGGACCCGCACAAGCGGUGGAUGAUGUGGAUUAAUUCGAUGCAACGCGAAAAACCUUACCUACCCUUGACAUGUCCAGAAGCCCUUAGAGUAUGUGUGCCCGAAAGGGAGCGUGGAACGGACAGGUGCUGCAUGGCUGUCGUCAGCUCGUGUCGUGAGAUGUUGGGUUAAGUCCCGCAACGAGCGCAACCCUUGUCGUUAAUUGCCAUCAUUUAGUUGGGCACUUUAACGAGACUGCCGGUGACAAACCGGAGGAAGGUGGGGAUGACGUCAAGUCCUCAUGGCCCUUAUGGGUAGGGCUUCACACGUCAUACAAUGGUCGGUGUAACAAAGGGUUGCCAACCCGCGAGG